rnacentral:lncRNA from 1 species
GGGUUAUAUCACAAAGGGGGCUUUCAUACAUUGCUGAUAGGAUUAUCAAUUAGUACAAGAUUUCUGAAGGGAAUCUGGCAAUGUGUAUCAAGAAACAACAACAAAAAAUUAUACCCUUUGAACCAGAAAUACAUUACAGCCCAGUGCUUCCUACAGGAACUGAAAAACCAGAUGGCCUGGAUUUGAAUUCCGGCUUCCACCUCCUACAGGCUCUGUGAGCUUGGCAAGCUCCUUAACCUCCCUGUGCCUCAGUUUCCUCGGCUGUAAGAUGGGGACAAUGGUACCUACCUCACACAAAUUUUUGAGAAUUGAUUUGGUGUAAAUAAAGUACUUAUAACAAUACCUG